AGGGAAGGAGGACGCUCAGUCAGAGACCGAAGCCAGCUCCUACAGCGUAGCUUGAAGAAAGAUUCACAGAAGGCAGAACCUUAGGGGGACCGUAUUGGACAGAUGAAGUAUGGCAGAGUGGAGCUUUCAAGUUACAUGAAAGGAACAAAGCAUCUAGCCGGAGAAUAGAAGAGCUCUCAAAAGCUUAUCAAGUGCGUGUUCUCCGUCCCUAAUAGAAGAAAGUGACGUGCAGGGUCCUCUGUGCUGGGCGGCGAUUGCUCCAUCGAAGCAUGGGCGAAUUCAGCUUGGUGCCAGCAUCUUCCUUUCUCUCUCAGGGGUUAAGAAAGUGCCUGUUUGCUUUGCACUGCGGAGAGCAUAUUAGUACAGCUGGUCAGCAUGUCUGCAUGCAAGACGUAGUUGCAUAAGGCAGCGAAAUAGAGCGAGAAGCCUUCUGUUUUCCUUGCUCUGCUAUUUACAUUGGCAGGUCUCAAAAGUGGGGUCACCAGCACGGAAAUAUGAGAUGGGGCUGAGUGAUGAACGUGAUGCCUAAGAAUGUGUGCUUUGCUGACUGAUACCUGUGCUAGAGCUGUUUGACUUCUCAUAUGCUCCACUGUCAGGCAAAUUAUGGGGACUCCGACAAGUAAAUAAUUACUUGAGGGGGAUGAAAUCCCUCUCCAGCGAAGCACCUAACAGUGGUGAAUCCAUUAAACCCCUUGACCACUUGGAGCAAAGCUAACGUCUCAUUCUCAGGAGGAUUUUCCCAGCACUGUCAUUUGAAGUAAGACCUCUCAGUGGGAAGGUCGAUGUAAGCUGUUCAGUAGCAGGGAAAAGAAAUCUCCUGCAUUUGCCUGCUUGAAAUCUGCUAAUAGAAUAACGCGUCUGUCGAAUCGAUAUCUAAAUCUCAUUCCUGUGUGUCACCAGAAAGGAAAUGUUAUUCCUCAGCACAGGCUGGUUCCUAUACACUGUUUUUUCAGAAUUCCCAGACCCAUGAAAGCAGAUAAAAUGAAUGACUAGCAGCCCCAGUACGUUCACCUACGCAUCCCUUCUGUGUUGUUUCUGCUGUCUCUGUUUUCCAGGCACAGUUGAAAUUGCCCAUGUAAAUGUGUUCUGCUGAGAGCAACAACAACAAACAACUCUAUGAUCAACUGUAUCGCUGCUCUUAUUUUUUAUGCCAAAAAAAGGAUCCAGUAAGCAC
rnacentral:lncRNA from 7 species